rnacentral:rRNA from 1 species
GACGGAGGAUGCAAGCGUUAUCCGGAAUGAUUGGGCGUAAAGCGUCCGCAGGUGGCAGUUCAAGUCUGCUGUCAAAGACCGGGGCUUAACUUCGGAAAGGCAGUGGAAACUGAACAGCUAGAGUAUGGUAGGGGCAGAGGGAAUUCCUGGUGUAGAGGUGAAAUGCGUAGAGAUCAGGAAGAACAUCGGUGGCGAAGGCGCUCUGCUGGACCAUAACUGACGCUCAGGGACGAAAGCUAGGGGAGCGAAUGGG